rfam:Anoxybacillus amylolyticus strain DSM 15939, complete genome.
GAGAACUGAUGGUUCGAAGAGUCGAAUGAGAGGGUAACGCCUCGAAAGGCUCUCCCUAAUACUCCGAAUAGCGACAAGAUGGGGAAGCAUCUAGUCGUUAUAAGCUCGGUGAAGUCGGCUGAACGUUGCCGUAACAUGUAAGGCUGACGAAAGCUCUCCAGAGGUGGGGGUGCAGCGGAUAGGCCGGGGGUCUAUAAA